UGCAGUGAAAUUCCUCGUACGCUCACAGAGCAGCGUGGGAAUCUCUAAAACUGUCCCCCGCAGGUUUGCAAGCAGCCCCUGCAGGUUCACUUGAGCUUAAUUUCGCUAAUCACACGGGGACAGUUAUUUUCUGUUCUCGCUCAGCUCCCCGCACACACGCAGGCAGCACACACGCUCGGGCUGCACCUCUCCCGCUCCCUGGCACGAAGUCCAGAUCAGCUCUGACCAUCCCCGCGUGCGAGCGGAGAGCAGCGACGCAGCGCCCCGGCGCCUGCGACCUUAGGAGCUGCCACAGAGGUGGGGGCAGAGAUCGUCUUCAAGGUUGCUGUCAUCUGGAAUUUUAUGUCCUUCAUUUUCUUUCACUCUGUAUGCCUGUCACAUCGGCUUAACUAGUUCACAUUUCAAGACUAAAUAGCUGGUGACCACAAGAAUGGAACACUGAGUCAUACAGAACACAUCUGCCAGCAGUGAAGAAGUACUGUCAGUAUUUUUGUGUUACACAACUUCAUGUUUAAAGGGAGGAUGGGGAAAAAAUUAAACAAACAAAUAACCCUCCCCUCUCCCCCCCCCCCCACACACACACAAAAAACAAACAACCACCACCUUUUCAAAGUAAGUAGCCAAGAUGUUAGCUCAGCAUAAAUUACACUACCAUACUUAUUUGACAAUAACGAUCUUUGUAUUGAUGGCAUUUUUGUGUCAUAUUAGGUUAAACAUAUCUACAGGGAACAUGCUUAAUCUGAAUGGUGAGCUUUGUAAUCUGUCAAUUCACUUUUAUCAACUCUGCUUCAAAAAAUAAAACAAAAAACAGAAAGAAGACAGCACCCAGAUCUUCUGUCUCUACUCCAAAACCCACAUAAGUCAGUCUCUUGAUUACACUUCCUCCACAGCCAAGUGCUCUACCUAACUCAGCAAAAAUCAGGAACGCUCAUCAUUAUAUAAAUCUAGGAUAAUUGUUUGGUCUUCCUGAAGUCAUUUGAAAUGUUUAAGGUUAUUUUACAGAACCAGUAUUUCACAUCUUAGUUUUCAAGGAUGACACAUUUCUCAUGAAGAAAAGCUGCUACAUAGAACUUUGACAUUGGCUUGAAUUUAACCAUCAUCAAAAGAGAACUGCAAACAGCUUGUGCAAUAUUCUGAUUCUUCCUUUCCUCUUUUAACCAUGCCCACAUGGAACUUUUAUUUAGCCAUUUUAUUUAUUAUGUUUGCUUAUUAAAAAAAGCAUGAAGAUGAAAGGAACUUUACAGAAUUUUUUAACUUGAUUUUACCAGGAAAAAAAAAACAACCUAGUACCUAUGGUACUAGUUGUGCAAGAGUAGAAAUGCUUUUUAUAGCAUAGCUGUAUGUGCACAGUCCUGUUCUAGACGAAAAGAUUAUUUCGCUUUACCUCCACAGGUCAAUACGGAGGUCGCUCUGAAAGCUCUCCUAUUUAUCUCCAUGGAAAUUACAACAGAUAGAAAAGUGGUGACACGUCUUCUCACUGGUAAUGAUACAAUCCAGGAAACUGUGACCAUCAUCCUCAUAUUGGCUCAAUAGAUCCUGACAAACUUGCAUACGGUGUUCUUUCUGUUCCUGCGGUCUCCAUUACUGUUGUGGUCUUCAUCCAGAUGGCUGAGCCCAGACUGCAAGGGUUGCCCUCAGUGCAGCUCUCCACAGGCCGUGCGCUAUCAGCUGGCACAUGGCAGCACCUGAGGUUGUUCACCAACAGGGCCACGACUGCCCUGGGGGGCUUACCAGCCCCGUCAGGCAUCCCAGGGACACAUGAUGCUUCUGAAUCCUGGUCACAGCUACAGUAGACACUUUCAGAGCACGGUGAGGCAAGGCCCCUGGGCUUGGGUUUACAGAUUGUUGUAGAGCAGGACAAGUCUCCUGCUGAUGCACUGACAGCCAUCAGGUGGUGCUUGGCCAAGGCAGAUGCCUUGCUCUGUGCCUGGCUGCCACUGAUGACCGCUGAUGGUCCAGCAAGUGCUUUUGCUUGGGCCACAGCCUUGCUAGAGAGGACAGACAGUCUUUCUGGCACCUCUGAGCUUCUGUUGCCUUCACUAAGGCCAGCAUAGCAAUCAGGCAAUGCUGUUUCAGCAUCAUGAAAUGGGUCUUCAUCAGAGUUUUUCUGGGUCUCCUCUUCAUCUCUUAUUACUGCACAUGUUUCCUCAGCCAUUUAUUGCACGAAAUACAGAAACUUUCUGUGGACAAAGUGGAAGCAAGAGGAUUUCAUUUCCACAUACACACAGGCACACAUACAGCAGACCUACGCAGAGUGACAUUUGAAGUAAGAACCUCUCCUUGUAUUUAACCAAUGGACCUAUUAAUUUUCUAAUAAAGCACAACCCUUGGGUCACUUCAGGCCAUUUUUUGUGAUUUGCAUUGGAUGUUCUUCGAGACACAACAUUCAUCCAAUAAUAAUUAAAAUGAUAUACUGUACUAUUAACAUUCUCAAAUCUUUAAAGCAAAGUGAUCUAUCCCUGCAGCACUGGCUUUGCUGACUAAUUAAACAGAAUACAGUUGUAAAUGGCUAUUGUAAGCACUUCUCCCAUUUAAGAACACAGCUCUAGCAAGUGUAGUUCAUAGAGAUGGGUGAGUUAUCAGGAUUGAUCUGCCCUAAAGAGGUGGAUGUACCACAAACAGCAGGUUUCAUUUAAAUGCCCUCUCUGAGAUUAAUCUGUCUGCUAGCAGUUUGUUUACAAGGUUGCCUUUUCCCCUCCUACCAACUCUAUCAGCAGAGCAAUAAUAGUACUAUGCUAGUCAUAGACAGGAAAAAAAGAAUACUUACCGAGGUUAGUGGGGGAAAGAAAAAGAGUUACAGUGCAUUGUGUCUGCGCAUCAUGUUUUCCUGAAUAUGAGUCAGCAAAAACUGGAACAGAAACAUCACUGUGAAGAAGCAGGAGCAGCAACAGCAUUACUCUAUUCCACCCAGCAACAACACAGUGAAUCCCAAUCACUGAGAAGUGAAGGGCUGACUUCACCCCCUCCUCCCCCCCCAUCCCUUCCUUAUUAAGAGGAUAUUCCUCCCUAGUAUUGAGCUUUGAUGUCAUCUUUGAGCAUCAAAAUGAAAACCGGGAUUGGAUGACAUUAUUUUUUACCACAGAUCCAAACAUCCCUGAUUCACUCAAUAUAUGGGGAUGAUACAAAUGGCUCAUCCUACCUCUGUCAAACAGCAAGGAGCAAAUACAGCUCCCAGAAGAGUGGAGGGCAUUCUGGACUCCAAUGCAUACGUGCUCUUCUUCAGAGAAAACAAACUUAGAUAAACUUUAGAUGCAUAAACCCAAGAUGAAACAAGCUUUUGGCACCAACUGAAUGCUGAGCAUAAAGGCAGCCAGAAGGUGUAGAUUUAAAUGUCUAAUAUACACUUAUAUUUAAUUAUGCUGACCUAAUCUUUCAGGGAAAAAAGAAAAAAAAAACAACAACUCUGCAACCAACUUAAAUAUCCAAUAAAAUAGUAAACUUCAUCUGCACCUUUGAUGUUUAGAAAAGCUACCUUCAGCAUCUUCUCCCACUUGUAAUGCCAGGAACAAAAUUCAAAAAAUAUCUAUCUGCAACUACUUUUGAGAAUCUGCCACAGGGCUUACACUGCCCUGAGGCUUUCUCUACUUUAUUCUCUUAAUAUGAAUAAAAGAAAGAACCAACCCAAAAUACUACCUAGAAUCUUCCUGGAGAUGGGAAAGAAUAAGGGUAGAUUCUAUCUCCACUUCUAUAUACAAUAGAACACAGAUAAUUAUUAUUUUUUUUUAAAUGUUUCAUCUGACUAUCUCUCUCUCUAAUUAAUCUGUUAAAUGAGAUAUAAUUCCAAGGUGGAACAUCUGAACUCCAGCUAACAAGUUCAGAUUUACACCCCAAAGUCUACUUGAACACUGUUUUCUUAUGUGUUCUAAAAAAUAUUGUACACUGAAUCGGUGAAAUAACUAAUUCUGCCGCGUUUAUGUGCCAAAUCAUGCUGCAGACUGUAUAAUUUAGACUAUGAAGAGAUUAAUAUGCUGUGAGUAAAUAAACUUUGCAAGGUUGUAUCUUAUUAAUUUCCAUUUGUCUGAAUCAGAAGUUAGGGUAAUUGGCAAGCAUAGAACUCAGAUACCAGGAAUUUUACUCCAAGAAUGAUCAUUAGAAUACAACAUUGUGCAUAAUCCUAGUUUUGGUUGUUCUCUCUCCAAAGCACCGCAGGUAUACCUUGCCAUAUAAUCAUAGGCUCCAUAGAGUUGGACUAGAUGACCUUUAAAGGUCCCUUCCAACUCCCCUGCUAUGAACAGGGACCCCUACAGCUAGAUCAGGUCGCUCAGAGUCUGGUCCAGCGGGGCCUUGAACGUCUCCAGGAACGGAGCAUCCAACACGUCUCUGGGCAACCUGUCGCCCUGCCUUCCAAUUACAAAGAGGACAGUGGAUGGGUGUUGUAAGGUAAUACAUGGUCUCAAGCUAUGCCAACACGUUUCUACCAGUCAGUCAUAAUAUUCUGUUCUCCACUUCUAAAUUUGCAGCAAUUUGCUACAAAAUGAACAUUUUCUAGUAGUCCAACAGAACAUUAGAUAAGAGGAUAUAUAUUUUUCUAAUAUUAAAUCUCUCUGGAGCUUCAUUUUUUUCAGCAAAUUUUUACAGGCAGCAUUUUUCUUUGAAGGGAAGGAGUUUAAAAAGCCAUUUUGCAUAGCAAAUUUUUUAAUAAAAAAUAAUAUUAAUUUUUUAUAGAUGUAGACCUAGAUGGAAUAAGUGACAUUUGAUACAAUCACCUAAAUAAAACUACAAACAAAAUCAAAACUCAUUGAGCUAGAUGGUUCUUUACAGAAUGUGACUACUUCAGUGGUGACCUAUGAAAUUCAACAUAAAAAAAAAAAAAUCAGCCAAUUGGGCUUAGAGCUUUAGCACAAAAAAAAUACAGUAAGAUACAGAGUGAUACUGAAAUGGAUUAAGAUGUAUCACCUAUAGGCAAGUGUGCAUGCAUAUUUCCCUUUUAUUCUGUUUUUCUUUAUUCAUAGUUUCCCAAAAUUUCAUCUAGUACAUCAGAUUGAAUUUUUCUAGGUUCAGCUGGUGCCUGAAGGUGAAUGUCUAUUGAACACUUCAGACAAGGAUUGAGAUACUUAAAUUGGAAAGCGGGAACAAAAGUAUGGGCUUUCCAAGAAAACAGAGAGAUCAAUAGAUACCUUUCAGGAGAAUUGCAUUCUGUAUUUAUAGCGAGGGUAUAAGGAAGAAGAACACAGUCUAUUUCAAAUGGAAACACGUAAAUUCUUGUUCCAAGACAACAAUCCUACUUUCCCAAGAUUGGACAAAAUAACUCCUAUUGGCUCUCUUUUAUUUACAAAUCAACAGGUUAACAAAGAGACAAGAAAAGACCUUAUAGAAGCUACUUCUGUGAGAGGCACAUUGUGCUAUUUCACUUCAUGAAGAAAGUGUUGGAAGAGUUUGCUGCUCCAACUGAGAGUCUGUUGCAGGCUUUAUUGAAUGCCUGUUGCUCACUUUGGACCUCCUUUCUUAGGUUAAAUCUGUGUGAAGCUUUCCAGGCAGAAGCUGCUUCAAAUUUCACAGUGAAUUCAUCUGUCAGUCCAAUACAAUGAACAUUUCAGGUAUUCAGAAUGAAAGCAAGAGCGCUUCCAGUUGAGGGUCACUGCUUUUUAUUACUACCCAUUCACAGGUAGAUGCGACCACGUUAGUUUCAAGGUGUAGACUCUACUUAUUUACCUCUAAGCUUACCAGCCAUGUACAUCCUUGCAAGGUCUGUGCCAACAGUGUUUUUUUAAAUUCAUCGCCUCCAUCAGGUAUUAGCUGUGAUAGGUACUUGGUAACCAGCAGUCUCAGAACCAUAAAUGUGUUCUUAAGUGUUCCAUGGUUGCAUGUUUGUGUGAUUGGGGUGCAUGUUAACACAUCACACAAGGACACGAAAGGGUCAGAAGAGAAUUCCUGCAGAGUCACAACAGUUAACUCUCACCUUCCACUGUAAGGCCACUCAACGGCUUGGACAGAUGUGAGGACAGGAAGUCUUGUUUUUUAUUAAAUACAAAUGUUUUACUGAAGUUCAAAGCCUAACAUUCAAACACACAAGCAGCAUCAGAAAGUGACAAGUGUUGGUGGAGACAUGCCUUUACAAGACUUUGGCCUGGGAUGUUACGUUGUUUUGUAUUUGGGUUUGGGGAGUACUUUUAACAAAGUAGUAAAAAAUAUCCUAUUACACAGUAGUGUAAUUCCAUAUUUUAUAUUAAUUGCUCUUAAAGAUCAAAAGCUAUAUUCUGUCUGUUAAUGUACACACUCGCAUGGUCUCCUAUGAAAUCAAUGAGAUCCACAUGUGUGCAUCUGAGACCUAAAUUUCUCCCCAAAGAUUCUUUAAAAUCCUUUUACAGAGCAGUAAGUCAUAGAAGAAAGUCAUGUGUUCCCUUUCUUCUGCCUCUAUACCCAAGCCAGACAUGAAUUAUUACUGCUGCUCCGAAUUACACUGGAUGAUAACGGUACCCAGAGGGGUCACUGGCCAGCCAGAGAUUACCAUUGCUCAGCAUGUUCUGUUCUCACCUUCAUACAUUCCUCAUCAAUUCUGCAGUCCUCUUACACCAGCAAAGAAAUGCAAAAUAAAUGCAGCCCAGCUUCACACUAAGUCUACUGAGGAGACUGGAAUGUGCUAUAGGUAUUUAAGUGGCAGGCUGAAGCAUGGUGGGAUACCACAAUGGCUUUCUAUGGCCUGGCAGAACAAAAUUUGGUAUAUGCACACAGCUGCAAUGUAAUCACAUUUGCAGAUAACUGGAAAGAUUUUAGACAGAAAGUUAAGUAGAUAUGUAAUUUUACUUGUGGGAAAAAGUUCAGUGUCUUCAAAAAUGAACAUACAGGAAUCCAGUCAACCAUCUUUAUAUUAAGUAUAAAAAAACCCACUGAAACAGUCUGCCAUGAUUGGCAAAAAUUAGCAAGACUGCUGUCAGUUUUAGCAGAAUUGCCUAUGAGAGAUGCAAAUCUCUGAAAGAGUAGCUCAGGCUAAGUCUGAGUUGAGUUUACAAGCUUGAAAAUCUUGUGACAGCAGGUACCAAAACAGCUUGAACACUAGGAAGGGCUUGAUGACAACUUUCACCACAGUAUUUCAGCAACUCAACUUCUAACCCUGCUUGAGCCCAAAUAUUCUCAGGGACAUACAAUGAAAAAUAUACUGAUAUGGCUUCAUGAAGAUAUCCUAACAGCAAAAUGCUUUGACUUUCGAGGCAGCAGCUGUUCUCCCUAUCAUCUAUAUGGAGAACAUUAGCCUGUGAUUUGAAUUCAUUUUAACUAAGAAUAAUGCUGUCCUUGCCUAAACCAGUACACAGUACACAACCCACCAUCUGAUCCAUGGAGCCAUGUUGGUACACUGAAACAGUCACCAAGAAGUUUCUAAAGUCUUGUGAGCUCAGGCAUCUACUUCAGCUGCAACAGCAGGCGCUUAGCUCUGCACAGAGGCUGAAGUGGAACUGGAAGAUCAAUGGGCAUAUGUAGCUGGGGUCAUGCUUGAUUCAGUGUAUGUCAAUUCACUGACUGAAGGAGGGUGACUUAUUUCAAUACAAAGAGUAAGUUAAGAAUGUUCCAUAACAGAAAGAAAAGGAGGAAGUAUUAGAUAUUCAGGGCAUUUGCAGCACAUGCUCUGUGAGGUAACAGAUGAAAAGAGAAAGCUUUAUAUUGAAUUCAAAGAAACAUGAAUCUUGAGAACAACCAAUUUACCCGUUGUUUUUUUUUUUUCCUCCAAUGAAAAGAAUGGCUGUCUAUAAUCCAUUACAAUUGUACCAAAAAGAAAAAUAUGAUUAUAAGCUGAAAAAAGGCUAGAUUGCAAAUAACAGCUUCCUUCGGAUAUUAGAGUGAAAAAAAUCCCAAACAUCAGUGAAAGUUUGAUUAUUUUUUCCAAGAAUAAAGAAAAGAUUAAGUUUAAUGGUAUCAAAAUUAAAGGUGAACUUCAAUGGUUCUCCAAUGGAGAAAAUAUCUUAAUUUGGAGGGAUGCCUACCAUUUUGUUCAGCAAUCAAGAAAAUGUGGAAGAGAAUGGGGAGAGAAAAAAAAAGAAAAAACUAAGCAGAAAGAUCAGGUAACUGACAUGCUACUAUAGUCUUCGUAUGGAGAAGAGAGACUAAAAAAAUCUUCCUGCAAAAAAAAAAAAAAGGUACUUGAAAUAUAUUUGAAUAACCUCCAGUAUUAAAAGAUUCAUAAGUAUUGCUCAUAAAUUGUUAGAACUCCAUGCCUAGCAGGUAAACAGUGGAUUACUCAACAUAGCCGUUAGAUUUCAGAUGUGAAAAUGAAAGUAUGGACUCACGUGUCUAGUUAAGGUUCACGUUUUGUAUGCAUUGAGGGAAAAAUCCUUUUUGUUGAGGAAUAUGUAAACAGAGCAUGUAAUUUUUGAUAACUGAUGUUUAUGUUUACUUUCUUUUUGACAUUUAAGUAUAACUGACAUACUGAUGGCUAAGGAAAGAAGACAACUAAGCUGGAAGAAUAAUAAACAGAGCGCUGUGAGAGAUGGAAGAGAAGAAAAACAUGGCAAAAAUAAUGAGUCAAAUGAGAGAAAGAUCUGCAGCUCUCUUUUGUAUAUAGUUGCUGUACAUAUACCAACAUGGAAGAAGCCUUCCACAGACUUCUGUCAUCACUCUGUGUGAAAAAGCUCUUUUAAAGGAACAGCUACCAAUAGGCAAGUGAGCCAGAAUACUUUUGUGCAGGAAUGUGCGUUUCUCACAUAGCUCAGGCUACCAAAAGGAAUACAAAUAUUUGCAGGAGUAGAAAAAGAUGCAGAAAGGACAGUGAAUCCUCUCACUGCUGAAACACCCUAAGUAGAAGCAGUGGAGACUCCAAGGAGAAGAAGAGUCUGGAGAAAUCAGCAACUUAAGAGUAACAGUGAAUGAGAAGAAGAGACUGGGAGAGGGAAGAAAAAGGCCUCUGGAUUUCCACCAGAAUUAAACUGGAGAAAUGGGAGCAGGAGGGGCACAGGAGAAGCAGGUUAAAGAGAUUUUGCUCCUAUCUUCGUCAGCAAAGAGGGAGUAGGAAACAAGACCCGGACAGCAUUUCUCCCAAGUCUGCUGCUCUAGGCAACUGUUUACUUUGCUUUUGCCCAAGAUAGCGUGAGACGUUAUAAAAUGAGUUUCCACAAUGCUCUGAGUCACCAGAAUAUGGAUGAGAUCUGUGGAUUCAAGCCACCUUUCAAGAUUAUGAAUCUCUUCUGAAUAUCCAUUAUGCCAAUGAUACAUAACAAAAUCACUGCUGUAAUGUGAUGCACAUGUCAACUUUAAGGAUACAGUCCCUGCUCAGAUGGCAUCAGCAUAGGGAAACGUCAGCAUGGUGGAUUACCAGAGCAAAUGCUUUAACAUGCAAUGUGAUGCAAUGUGUUUUAACAACAAUUGUUCCCUUAUGUUUGUUUGUGUCAGGUUUGACGUGACUAUCCGCCAGGACAAUGCUCAGGAUUCUGUGUGUUGCAUUGCAGAAACUGAUUAUGUGAUCAAAUGCUUAAAGCACAUAAAAUCACGCCCAAGAUUCGAUGAGAUAUAUAUGCCAGAAAAUUCAGUAGGUGCUUAAAGUAAUUGACGCUAACAGCUAGACCUGGGUUUUUCAAAGGAAUAAGCGUUUUUGUUUGUUUGUUUUUCCUAAUGCAAUAUAAUAUAAACUGCCUAGAAAUUCAGCCUUAGCAUAAUGUUCAGAUCAAAUGAAAUUCACCCGUUAAGAAAGAACAUACACAGGGUCCUCCCUGAAGUGGAAAAGACAGCCUCUGAGUAGAACAGAUACCCUGGGAGACUUCUUACCCUGUGCACAUGCCCAAAAAGACAGCUCUGAAUCUAACUGCAUUGUAGAUCUAAUGCUUGUAGGAUUUGGAGGCUCAACGCUGAGCUGUAGCUCUCAGCAGCCCUUUUUCCCCAGUCCGUGAAACUCAGAAUCCAGUGGAGACAAAAACCUCUAUAGAAAUACUGUAUAUGUAAAUGGACUUAGAAGAAAAAGGGAGGGGUACCUGCUCUUAAAUUAGUCAUAUUUAAAAUGUAUUCUCAGAACACACUGAACUAUCAAACAGUCCCCAAAGUGAAGAAAUGUGAUUCUCAUUCAAGACUUAAGAGCAAAAGGCAAAACAACUGUGUCCCUUGCUCCAAAGUCAUUAUCUCACAUUAAGACUUCAUCCUGUUCUCCCAGUUCAGAAUUUAGUCUGGUUCUAAUGGCUCACUAGACAGUUUUGCAAGAUCUUCAUGCUCUCAUAGGUAUUUAGGCACUGAAAUCAGUGAGAAGUGGUACCUGUACACUUUCAGAAAUCUGUCUUUAAUUUCAACAUCCCAUAAAUUUUUUUAACAAAAACAUCCUUCAUCUUUUCUGCUUCACAAGUGAGUUGUGAAGCUUAAUUACACAAUGAUUAUGAAGUCCAGCAAAUACAACAUAUAUUAAGAGUAGUUAAUGAGAUUUCUGUCACAAGCAGACUCCCUCUUGUAAAAUAUUACUCACAUGUUGCAGGAAAAAAAACUCAAGAGAAAAAAAUACAGAUGCAUUAAAUAUAAAACAAAUCUAGCUUGAUUACUUCCACAAAUAAUAUGUUAUACAACUCUAAAACAUCUGUCAGGACAGCAUAGAGAAUAGCAUAGGCUUUUCUGACCAGAAUGGAAUCCUGUCAGCACGGAAUUCUGUCAGCACAUCCAUGUACUCAUUUUUACCUGCAGUGCCCAUCCAAGACAGGGCCUCCAGACCCACACACGAUCUGCUUCCCAUGAGAUCUAGUGGCUUAAAUACCUUCAAAGACCAGACAUGAAGUUCUGUUCCUUCAAAUCACAGAAUCAUGGAAUCAUAAAAUGGCUUGGGUUGGAAGGGACACCCAAGGAUCAUCAAGUUCCAAUCCCUCUGCUGCAGGCAGGGCCACCAACCUGUGGUGGUUGUAAAUAUUUCCCAAAAAGAUGCCAGCAUACUAACCAAUUACCACAUUUAACAGCACAGUGGAAGAUGGCUAGACAACUAUGAGCAGACAGACGAUCGUACAGAAGGCAUUGCUUGCAUACUUAGUGAUUUCUCAGGCCAUAACAAAGCAUACAGCCUAACUAGGGUAGGAGGACUCAAAAGAGGAAGACCAUUCCUUAAUAAUACAGAGCUCUUUGGCACAUUUCUUUUCUGUGAACAAACAGUGUAGCUGUUAAAAUACAUUUCCUGUUAGCAAUUAUGGCUCAGAGCUCACAGACGCUUUUACAGAACUUGGACAGGAGUGAUUUUCAGUACAUAGUGUCUCUAACAGCAAGUUAUAUUAAUAUUCACCAAAGGAAAACCUGUUUGUUGACCCAAAGUGUGACUGCUUACAAUUCUCUUCUUGUGAAAUUAUUUAGGUCCUGUGGGACAACUGUACUGAGCUUUUGACGCAAAUAUUAAAAUUCUAUUUAAAUGUACAAUGUUUUAAUGCAAAUUUUUACCAUAAAACCAAAUGCUCCAUUCAGUUAAAUUAAUAGAAUUACAAAAAGAUGUAAUGAUAGCAAUUAAGUCUUGAAAAUGCAAAUUUUAUAGUCAAGGACAAUUACCUCAUUUAUAGUAUCCUGGAAUGAUGCCAGAUGAAGGUAAUUUAGAUCUCCCUAGCUCACAGUUAUAUCAUGAAGGAUAUCUUAAUUUCAUUAGUACAACAAAGAUGGGUGAGAACUUGGACAAUAUGAAAAAAAAAAGGGAGGGAGAGAUGGGAGAGAAAAUUUGACCUUUCUCAUUUCACCGCAACUAGAAUACAUAGAUCUUACUAAAGGAUUAGUAAUAUUUCUUUCUAUUCCUAUCUCUGGGGAAAAAAAGGGGGGGGGGGGGGCACUUUUUUCUUUUCUUUUUUUUUAUUAGCAGCAAUGGAACAUUAGUAUGAAAAAGGUCAACUCCCUUCAGAUUCUUAGAGCCACUAUGCCCACAUCACAACAGUUAUGGACCAUUCCUUAUUUCAGUUUUAAGGAUGAAUACAGCAUUGGCUCUUGGCUGACAGAGUAUCAAGCUAUGGCCUAGGGACACAUGGUUUUGACUCCAAUAUGAUUUAAAAUGUUCUAGAAAAAUUCUUCUUGCUCUUACAAAUACAGCCCCACUUCAUCCAAAGAGGCAAGUCAAAAAUCAUCAGUUUCUCAUUAGCAAGCAAAGAGUGAUCAAGUAGACAAAGAAUACAGAUUGAUAUGCCAUAGAUUCAGUAGUCUCCUUUGAAGGAAAAACAAAACCAAACUCUCAUACAAGUUCUUUAGCACAUUAUCAAGUUCAAAUAGGAGUUUGCAAUACUGCAGAUAUCCCUCUUCCUUUCCUUUCUCUUUGCUGUAGUAGCUACCCUUGACCCUUGAAGAGAUUUCAAAAAAAAAGCAUAUUAAAUAAGGUGCACCAUAAAGUUUAAUUUUAAAACUUUACAACUCUCAAUUUUUCUUCCUGGCCUGUUGUAGCCACUGCAAAGAAACUCAACUUCCAGAAAAAUAGCUGCAUCCACCUAAAAUCUUCUUACAUCAAAUUCCCUUACCAAACCUAACAUGUAGGCUCUGGAGAGAGCGGAAACCUCCAAGGACAGAGUAGCAAACUUCACCUCUCUCCUUAUCUUGAACACAACUAACAAAGAUAACAUGAAAAAGCCUUCCCAAGAGUAGAAAUAUCUGCUUACCGUCAGCAUUUGGUGGUUUUGCUGUAGAUGGUGCAUGCUGAAGCCAUCCCAACCUCCUGCUGACAAACCUUUCCUUAACACCCUGAGAUAGGCAGGUUCUAGAGGAUCGGCUUUAUAACUUCGAACAGCACCACAUAGCGACAGGAAUGCAGCAUUACAAACCCCCAACACUCCUCAGAAAGGGUUUCUUCCAUCCAGUUAUUCUGUUUUAUGAAAAACAAGCCUUUUCUGAAGGAAAAAGUACCUUAAUUUUUCAUGUCAACGAUGCUAUCAGUCACCUCUGCCGCUUGAAAACAAUGGAUGACACUCUGGCUCAAGGAAAGCCACCUGCUUCCUUUGGGGUUAAGACAUCUUUUGGUGAAUUUCAUCUCCUAUCAAGCAAUAGCAAAAUUAGAGCUUGUACCACUAUUGCCUUCGUUCCGUGCUUUUGAUGCUUAUAAUCCCAUUACACCUGACAACUUAACCUGAGCUUGUUAUUCAUAGACAUGUAUGGUCUGAUGAAACAUUCCCAACUCCUGAAAAAUCUUUUUGUGUGUUGUUGGGAGAUUUGGCCUAAUAAGAAGUGCUUGAGUGGGUGUAGACUGGGUAUGUUUGUACCAUAUUAUACAAUAUGGCUUAAAUUUCCAUGGCAUUUUAUUGGAAAGUGUGAACCUGACAAGCUAAUAGUUUGUGAAUCUGUUGAGUCUCUGCUGUUGCAUGGAGAAACGUUUUGUCUAGGCUAUUCCCAGUAUGCUUCAAUUGUAAAAAAAACAGGCUGCGAUCAUAACACAUCUUCAUGUAAAUCAAAGUAAAUUUCUGCAGGACAAUAUUUACCACUGUUAUGUACCGCAGAUCUCCCAAUUCCUCAUUUGACCUAACAGUCGGAAUGAUCUCAGGCCAGCAAUAAGCUGAAUACUGGUUGCUAAGUAAUAUUUAAUUUAAGCAUGAUGUUGUGGUCAACAAAAUGAAUUAGCAUUUUCUGCAUUAAUGAAGAUCCAGGCCUAAAAUCAAAUGAUGAUGUCAAAAAAUUAUGGAAAGUAUUAUUGAUCUAAUUCUUCCUUUUAUUACACUGACAGAGAAACAUGCUUCUUGGAAAUGUUACAUGUGAAGGAAGAAUUUUUCCUAUUGCAUCUUCUUUCAAGAGAUUCAGUUUUCUACUCAGAACUCCAAGAGAGUAAUUUACAUUUGUGAUCACCCAGCCAAUUCAAGGCAACUGUGGAAAGAAACACUAGUAAGAAUUCAUUUUGUUGAUCUUAUCAUAAAUGUGAGAGAGAUUUAGCUUUAUCCUAAAUUCCACUAAAUCCUAGAAUGCAAUAAAGAAAUAAUCAUACAUGAAUUUGAGUCAGUACUGUUCCUCGUCAUUAUGCCACCUGACAAGCUAGAAAGCAACUUCGCUAGUGCAUAUUCAUUCCAAAUUAAUACAGUAAUUCUGAAAACUGUUUCUUUUUUCCCCUACUUUUAUGCAUUUAUUGCUUUAUUUCUCUAUUGCUAUUUCCAGUCCAUAAUGCAAUGCAGCUUGUGGAAUGUAAUCCCCUUUCUUCUCCUGACCAAACUCCACUCUGAAUGCUGCAUGGAUGGGAUCCUUUCUUUUCUGUUUUUUUAAUGUUUUUCUUCUCACUUUACAUAUUCUCAAAAAUGAGAUGAAUUUCUGAUUAUUUUCCAUUUUCCCCACUUUAUGAAUAUUAGAGUGGUUUUCUUUUGCAAUGUGGCUUGGCCUGCAUUUCAAAGUCCACAUUUUGAGUGGUUCCCUGUGAUUUUUGGACACUUGGCAUUUUCUGGGUCCAACUCAGAGAACUGUUUGAUUUUCAAAUAUUCAGAGCAUUCUCAAAGCCUGUUAAGUACAGACAAUACUUUCAGUGUUCUUUAGGUCCUUUAGGCUUAUUUUUUCAUUAACCCAAAACUGAGGUAAAAAAAAUCCUGUGUUCUAUGAAUUCCACAGUGUUGUGCAGAGAAGGGCAGUGGGAAAACUGAGUUAAAUGCAGGAUUCAAGUUUUUCUGACUCUUGCACAACUUGUUGUCUAAUGGACCCCAUAGGCUCUCAGCAACACCAGCUGUCUCUAAAAUUCAACCAACAGUGGAAAUGACUACUGCUGUUCUGUCCAUGGAAAGCAUGAAAAGGUUAUUAAAAAAAAAAAAAAAAAGAAUGGCUUGCUUAGAUAUCACACAAAUGUAUUUGCUUUUUUUUUACUUAGUGAAAAGGCUGUAUUAUAAAAGUAAACUUUUCAAAACAGAAAAAGUAGGUAUCAAAUACAGGAAAGAAACAAAAAGACUAUAAAGUAAUCUUUACAAAAGCAGAUUGCACUGACACUGUCUUGCUCACAGUAACACACAAAGUAAUUUCAUAAAACCCAGCUUUUAUCUUGUUCUAAUAAAACAUCAAGCUAGCAACAUUAUGGUGAGGGCUUUCAUUUUCUUUUCGAUAUAGAUUCUGAUUGGAAGUAUUAGCUGAUGCAGCAGGAUAAAUAAAGAAAUGCCUAGAUUGUUAUGGUUCCCAAAGGUCAUUUUUAUGAAAAGAUCAGGAAAUAUGUUUCAUUGAAAUUAAAAGUAAAGCCAUAUCAAGUUUAAUAACAUUGUUACCAUAAUGACAUAAAAUUCAGUGAGAUGGUGUAAUGUUUAAUAUUUGACUGUCAAGCCUCUGCAGUGAAGCUGUGUGAAAGCAUUUAAACUUCUAAAACUGAAUUUCCUUUCAGUUUUAUUGCUGUUUUAUACCCAUCUCCUUUUUUUCCUUGCCGUAAUAUUCUGUGUUUCUUUGUUGAAUUUGAUGUUAUCAGUAAAAUACAAUAAAAACUCAUGGAGGGCCACAUCUCUGUUCCAUAGAAGACUUAGCAAGGCAUCCCCAGAUGACCAAAGGCUGUCUGUGCCAAAUCAUUUUUUCCAUCAAGUAAGAACCCCAGCAGUGUUGUAGGGCAUGGCAAGAGGGAUGCUGUCAGGGCACAGCUACCCUCUGGGUUUUCUCAGUUGUGGCACUGUCAGAGGUGGAUUAAUAUGAGAAGCUGUAUCAGCCCUCAGCGAUUCUGGGAAAGGUCUGGCAUAAUGCCACUGUUCCCGGGUCUGCAUUCACAUAAACAAUUGUAAAGACGACUGAAGCCAGCAACUGCGAAGCCCGAGUGGUCUCUGGCUUUGUACAGCCUUUUGUUGGACACUGUGCUGAGUGCUAGGAUCAGAGAAUUGAAAAGUUUACAGCUUGGCACAGCUCUGCAAAAUUCUGAUUUUCAGAUAAAUAAACAAAACCCUGUCUCCAUCCCUGGGACCAAAAUUAUUCAAUACACUAAACAACAAGUAACAUUCUGGAAACAAAUUCUUUCUUUAAAAUGCAAGCUUGGUUUAGCACAUUUUCCCAGGAUGAAUUUCACCAGUUUAGCUUAAGAGUUGUUCAGUCUCAUCAGUGUAAAAAACAAGUAGCUGUGAACAUUCCUGAAACACUUACUUGGAGAUUCUCAUAAAGGAAAGAUCUGAGUGCCCGAGCCACCAGAGUCCAUACAACCACAGAACUGCUUGAGUUGGAAGGGACCCUUAAAGUCCAUCUUGUCCAACCCCCCUGCAAUGAACAGGGACACCUACAGCCAGAUCAGGUUGCUCCCCUUUAGAUACUGAAAGGCUACUAUCAGGUCUUCCUGGAUAUUUCUCUUCUGCAGGCUGAACAGCCCUGGCUGUAAUACAGCUAAAUAUUCUGAUGGUUUUACUUCAUAGUUUUCCAUCAGCUUUGGUUGCUGACAGACGAUGCAAAGAUUGAGGAUUUAAGCUUGCUGUAUUUGUUCUCUUUGUCUUUUUGCCAGACUGGCUGUGAUGAGCAGGUACUGGAUAUGCAGUUUGGUCUGUUGCAGCUGUUCUAGUACAUAAUCUGAUUCAAAAACAGGGAAUAUUUGGAGGCUCUUAUUGGUAAAUACUGCUACUAUGGAUUUUAUAAGUACUGCAGAUGUGCCCUUGCCACCUUUGAUCUAGUAACAUGGUGCUUCUUACUAUGUGGACAAAUAGCUCUGAAUGUACAACUCAAAGAUUUGCCACUCUCCAUAAACAAGCUUCACUUUCUGCCAUUUGUGCCUGAGGUUAUUAUUUGAGCUGUGUGGAUCAUUCCUUACGAAAAUUAGAACUGUGAGCUAUUUAGCUGGACUUAUCUUUUCUAUAAAGGUGAAACUAAAUAGGUCUGACACAAAAUAGCUGUGGAAGGAGAGAUUCUGAUUCUCCUUGGAGCUUGUUUUAUACAAAGACCAUCUUAAAUUGCAUGUUUGCUAAUUCCUUUCUCUUAAAGACCUCAAGGAAGGCAGAAAGUAUGAUACAUCUACAUGAGUUGUACCCAGCUCUAGGCUGAUAGAGACUUUAGGCAGUAUUAAAACUGCCAUCGAUUCCAAAUCCCUAUCUUUGGGUCACAAUAAGACCAAUGAAGGUCUGCACAUGGGCCUUAACACACCUAUGUUGCUGCUAUCUUGUCUCCUGAAGCAUGACAUCCUUCUUAUAGAUUCACUGAAUCACCAUGUAAACUUGUCUAAUAAAAGUGGAAAUAAGAGUUUAUUUCUGCACUUCAGUUUUUCUUUGCAUUUUCUGGAAGCAGUGCAAUAUAAUUCAGAUGCAGUGUGAGAAAGGCACUGUGAAAUCAUGAAUAAAGGACUCCAGUAUUCCUUUAUGAAAAAUCUUUUAAC
ensembl:lncRNA